rnacentral:rRNA from 1 species
AUACGGAGGAUCCGAGCGUUAUCCGGAUUUAUUGGGUUUAAAGGGUGCGCAGGCGGCCAUUUAAGUCAGCGGUUAAAUCGUGGGGCUCAACCCCAUUCUGCCGUUGAUACUGGGUGGCUUGAUUGCGGUCGAGGUUGGCGGAAUUCGUUGUGUAGCGGUGAAAUGCAUAGAUAUGACGAAGAACACCGAUUGCGUAGGCAGCUGACCAGACCGCAAAUGACGCUCAUGCACGAAAGUGCGGGGAUCGAACAGGAUUAGAUACCCUGGUAGUCCGCACAGUAAACGAUGAAUACUUGUUUUCGGCGAUAUAAUGUGGGAGGCAAAGCGAAAGCGAUAAGUAUUCCACCUGGGGAGUACGCCGGCAACGGUGAAACUCAAAGGAAUUGACGGGG